rnacentral:rRNA from 1 species
UACGUAGGGUGCGAGCGUUAAUCGGAAUUACUGGGCGUAAAGCGUGCGCAGGCGGCUUCGCAAGUCAGACGUGAAAUCCCCGGGCUCAACCUGGGAACUGCAUUUGUGACUGCAUCGCUGGAGUGCGGCAGAGGGGGAUGGAAUUCCGCGUGUAGCAGUGAAAUGCGUAGAUAUGCGGAGGAACACCGAUGGCGAAGGCAAUCCCCUGGGCCUGCACUGACGCUCAUGCACGAAAGCGUGGGGAGCAAACAGG